rnacentral:lncRNA from 1 species
GUUCAAGGGUGUUCCUACAAACGAUUCCUAAUAGCUCAGGCUGGAAAUAACUGACAUGCUCACCAACAGGAGAAGGAAAAUGAGGUAGCAGAACACACAACGUUGAAAGCAAUUAAACUACGUGAACAACACAGAUGAAUUUCACAAAUACAACACUGCUCCAAAGAAAUCUAACCCAAAAGAAUAUUUAUGAUUCCAUUUAAACAAGUUCCAUUCAAGCAACAUGCAUGAGGCCCUAAGUUUGAGCAAUUCUUAGCUUUGGGAGAUGGAAGGUGUUGGUAUUUUGGAUACAAAAUGGGAGGGCAUCUAGGGUGCAUAAAAUGUUCUAGUGUUUUGGUUUUAGUUUGUGUGUGUUUGGGCUGAUCAGUGUCUACUGGACUUUUCAUAUGUUUUCUGCACUUCUAUUUAAAAUACUUUACAACUGAGUUGACAAAAAAAAUUGUUCUCAAUAUUAUUUUUCUUUUAGAAUCCCAAAUUCAAUUCCUUAAUUUUCUGGGUGGCAUGGAGGUGGGGAACAUGCCUCAGUCUUCUACAAAUGAAUUAUCUGCAUCUGGGAAAUUAUUUCUACUGAGUUUAUGUUUUAAUACAAGGCUCUUCUAGGAUUGUCUUGUGGCCCACAGCAAAUGACACAUUUGAAGUCCUUGGCACAUGAAAGAUCAAGGCCUAUAUUUUCUUUAACCAAUUACAUAAAUUUCACUUCCUCUCCAAUUUUAAUAUAGAUAUGAAAUAAAAUGGGAAUUUUGGGGAUUUUAUUUUUUAAAUGUCUUGAGGUAUAACUGAAUACAAAAAGUUGUAGAUAUUUAAUGUCUAUACUUCGUACAUAUAUCUGAGAAUCCAUUCUCACAAUUGAUGUCCUAAACAUAUUUAUUACCUCCAAGAGUUUCCACCUGCUG